rnacentral:rRNA from 1 species
UACGUAGGGUGCAAGCGUUGUCCGGAAUUAUUGGGCGUAAAGCGCACGUAGGCGGCUUAGCAAGUCGAAUGUGAAAUCCCUCGGCUCAACCAAGGAAGUGCAUCCGAAACUGCUGAGCUUGAGUACUUAAGAGGAUCGCGGAAUUCCCGGUGUAGAGGUGAAAUUCGUAGAUAUCGGGAGGAACACCAGUGGUGAAGGCGGCGAUCUGGGAAGAUACUGACGCUGAGGUGCGAAAGCGUGGGGAGCAAACAGG